UCUUAAGAUUCUGAAAGCCAGAAAUAGACUUUUAAUCUAAAUUAGGUAUUUAGCGAUUACCCUUAAGAA
rnacentral:tRNA from 1 species